GGCCCGCUGGCGCAAUGGUAGCGCGUCAGAUUCCAGUGUUUCUAGGACCAGGAACAUCCUGAAGGUUACCCGUUCAAAUCGGGUGUGGGUCA